GGGCCGUUAGCUCAGUUGGUAGAGCAUCGGACUUUUAAUCCGCUGGUCACUGGUUCGAAUCCAGUACGGCCCACCA
rnacentral:tRNA from 1 species